rnacentral:lncRNA from 1 species
UCCUCCCUUUGAGCUAGCUUAUGGGGUGUGAGUUAGACCCAAGACUUAAUUUUACACUAAGAUAACAAGUGAUAAACUUGAGUUUAUCCUAAUAAAGCCAACCAUCCAAAAAAAUUAUUAAAAACACCAAAUAUAUAAAGAUGUAAAUCACCAUUAAAAACAACACUUAGUUCAAUUCGAGCGAUAGAUUUUCUUACUUGAGGAAAGGGUUUCUCAAUUAUCAAAACCUAAUACUCUCCUUCCAAAAUGAGAAGCCUGCUUGAUCUCUCUCUCUCUCUCUCACACACACACACGCAUACACAGAUAAAGCCCUAGUCAUUCUAACGAUGGAAAUUUUCAAAUUAAGUUCUCUCUUUGCUAGAUCAACACGCGUGUCAGCUUGAUAAAAUUUUCUCAAUGCAUGGUUUGAUUGAUAAUUUUAGGAUGAUUCAAUUGUUGUUCCUUAAUGUCUGGAUUUGUUCAAGCUACUCUAUAGCGGUUUACCAACAUUACAUCACAUUCACUUGCUUAAUAAAUUUCCCCAACACAUCAAGUUGGAUUGUCAAUUCAAGUUUGUGCCUCAUAUUCCUUCAUUGGUUAUUGAAGAAGCUCCUCAACGCUCCGCAAGCAUCGCAAAGGGUCAGAAGAAAGCUGCUACAACAUACUAGACUUGAGUUUCUAUCCAAAGGUCAGGCAAUUAAACAAAGUCAACCCCUCUCCAGCUAGGUCCUUGAGAUCGCAAAAUUAUUCAAGAUCUGCCUCUCCAAGCAUUUUUAAUCAUAUCUUGAAGUUUCUUUAGCAUGCAAUCCGAACACUUUUGACUUUAGAAUGGGUCAACGUUUCUGUUGACUAUUAUCAAUCUUCUGAAUUAUAUCAUUCUUUUGCUCAUGAUAAAGACUCAACCUCGAGCUUAGCAUAUCUACAUCAAAAGAAAUUUUUUUCCAAAAUAUUAGGCAAAUUACAAUGAAGGCAACACCAAAUUUCCUUGGUUGAAAAGACAUGAAAUAAUACACAAACCUUUUUGUACACUUGAAUUUAGAUAGUUGCCAUCAAUAAAUGUCGAGAUAUAAUCGUUAUCUAAAAUAGCAUCAUCAUAUGACAUAAGAAUAUAGUACGUUACUUUUAAAAAUACCUUAGAUGUUGACACUUCUAGGAUGCAACACUAGGAAUCCCAAGCAUUAUAAUGAACCAAUUACACUCACUUGAAUUACACUCAUAGGAUGCAAAAAUACCUUAGAUGUUCUAGAUGUUGACACUUAUAGGAUGCAACACUAGGAAUCAAAGCAUUAUAAUGAAACAAUUACACAUGUCGCAUGAAAGCUUCAACCAUUUGUCUGUCAGGAAUCUCAUCAAUAUUAUAUAAUUUAUGGCUUCUCAAAUCAACUCCAUGCCCUGUUUCUUGAUCUCUACCAGUCCAAGCAUGUGUAACAUAAUAUGACGUCUCCACGUGUUUGUUGAAUGUUUUCCACUUCAAAAAGAGAAAUCCAAGUGCUUGUAACUUCUUUGCUUGGCUACUAAUGUUUUAGGUGUAGGUGUAGGGUCCUAACCCCCCUCCCCAAUAGAAGAAAUUCACUCUCUAAUUUUCAUUUUUACUAUAAAAUGACGUAAAUGACUGAUAUUGGAUACAUUAUGCACAAGAGAAUCAUCAGGAGGUUCUUAUAAGCAUUAUCAUUAGUGUGCGCAAGAGCCUAGAAGGGGGCUUCUCUCAUUGGUAGAAUCUUUGUUUCUCUUCAUGGUGGUAAUCAGUGGCGGACCCAGAAUUUGAUGUAAGUGGGUUCAAAUAGUAAAUAAAGAACGAUGAUGUUAGCAAAUAGUGUACGCAGCUUGAGCACAACAAAUGAUUUGCUCGUUGCUAUUUUAUUGUCCUUUUUUUGUUAAUAAUAUAAUAUCAAAAUAAGAUUAUUUAAAAAAAAAAAAAUGCUCAACACUUGUUUAAUUUAGAAAGUUCGAGAAAAAAUACAAAAAUUUGCUAAGAAUCAAUUUAAAUUUUUUUUAAAACUAAAAUUAUAGAAAACUAAGAUACCAUAUAUGAUUUCAACGAAACAAAUUGCAUGUUUUAGCAAAAAUCUAUCAAAGAGAUACCAAAAUGUAAUUAUAGAAAGGUGAUUUUUUUUUUGUUUUGAGUUAAAAUAGAUUUUACAUUUUUAUUAAAUUUGAGUGAGAAGACACAAAAUAAACAAAGAAUUUUUUUUUAAAAAAAGAAAAAUUAAGAGAGAAAGAAAAUAUAGGUGAUAAAUUUGGUAGUUAGCAUUGACUAGUAUAUAAAAUAUGAUUCAAUACUUUUUUGGGGGGUUAUAAGCCAAUUUGGCCUACCGUAUACACUGUACAAGUGAUAUCCAAUACAUGCUCAACCCAAAAGUAGUAAAAUUUUAAGUGUAAAAAACACUAGAGCUGAACGGAAUCGAACCUAAGUGGUGAGGGCGGGCUUGAACCCACUUUAACACUGCUCCGCUAUCUUGCUAAGUUUUUAAGUGGGUUCAGAUAAUCUUUAUACAUAAAUUUUACAAUGUUUUUCUCUUACAUAAAUGAUAAAUUUUUCAAUGAAGCGUGUUCAGUUGAACCUACCUGACACCAUGUAGGUCCGCCCCUGGUGGUAACCUUUCCCUCGUGAGAAUGAAAAUCCAUUCUUCAAGUUCAAAAAUCAUUCCAUUUGUUUGCUUGCUUGCUUUAGGGGGCGCUUUGGUAUUUAUUUUCUCAAGUUGUCUUCUAGAUUUCUCAUGAAUUGUCUUCUUAGCUUCUCUUUCCUCUUGGAAUCUAAUUCACAACCUCUCGAGAGAGCGAAAUUAAAUCCAAAAGGGUAAACACAUUCAAAUAAAGACAUAUCAAUAAAUGAAUGUAUAGUACAAUUGCAAGGAAUCUCAACUAAAGAUAAGUGAUCCUCCUAUGAACUAAGCUUCCCCUUGACCAAUAUGACUCUUAAGUGUCACCUAAUUUGUCAUUAAUCACUUUAAUUUGUCCAUCAAUUUGAAGGUGAUAAGAAGUAUAGACAUCAAUUGUGCCAAGCUUAGCUAACACUUUUCGAAAUGAGCUAAGAAACUUAAAAUCCCUAUCACUAAUAAUGUCUAUGAUCCUCAUGCAAUGUAAGCAUAAAUUUAACAAAUAAGUCAACAACAUCAAUAACAUCAUAACUUCUAUGUCAUAGUAUAAAAUAAGUCAUCGUAAAAUAUCUAUCAUUUACCAAAAAAAGAUUAAGCUUUAUCAUUUUGUUCUAGAUAAGUCAAGCACGAAAUCCUCAUUCUUCAAUCAAGAAUAGGAUUGAGGGCAUGAGCAUAUCACUGGACACACCAUAUUUGUAUAUCGUGUUUUAACAAGAGGUAAUCUGGUGUCGUGGAAGAGACAAAAACUAGAUAUGGUUGCUCUGUUCAAUGGCUAUAAAAUAUGAGCUAGAUUGGAUCAAACAUUUGCUUAGAGAAUUGAAAUUUGAAGGCUUCAGGUAUAGAUUUAAAUCUGACCAAAAUUGAUAGAUACAUUCGAGACGUAUAUAAUGAUUUCUGAAAUAAAAAGAAAAGUUAGGGUGAAUUCAUAAUUUAGACAUGUUUUUCUUCUCGUUGAAGGAUAUUUGAAAUAAAACAUACGCGACCAAAAAGUGUUUAAAGAUAUUUACAAAAUUACAAGUUAACAUCAUUGCUUAAUGUGCAAUGAACUUGAGAAGUUUAUCAUAGACUCUAUAUCAUUUGCAAUGGUUAUGUUGCACCAGAAAAAUAGUAGGAAGAUAUAUAUGUACUAAAUAGUUAUAGAUUCAAACUUGUUCUCUAACAUUCGUGCAUCCCUUUCGUCACGGUUAGUCCACGAUAAUUUUGGUUUUAGAAAUUUAAAUUAUUUUUAGCCAAAUCCCUACACUUGGAUCUGUAACCCUAAAUUCAUGUUAGGAUUUCACUUGAAUUUCCUACCGUAUUUUAAAAACAUUUUCUUGUCAAAAAAGAUCUCUUCUAUAGAUGGUUUUCUUGGAGAAGUUUUGGACUUCAAUAAAUAGAUGAUCUUUACUUCUCAUAUAUAAUACAAUUUCAUCCCUACUACUUUUACUAUAAGAGUCUUAUUUUGGGAGAGAAAAGUAGCUUUUAUCGUUUUUAAUAUUAUUUCUCAUUAUAUGUAGGCCAGUUGACUAAACCAUAUCAAUAAUAUGCUUUUUAGUAUAGGUUUACUUUGUUAUGUGAUCGUUGAAGGCUUGCAAUUAUUAGCUUCCGCGUGAUGCCCUGUCAAUUUUGAUGUAUCUCAACAAGUGUUAUCAGAGUCAAAUAGUCUAAUGAUUUAGUGAAGCAAGGUAGAGGACAGGUUCAAAUUAUGUUGCAACCAAUUUAAUGAUAAUGAAGAUUUUUUUCUAGCUAAUACACGAGGAGAUAAAAUUUCAAUCAUAGAUAAAAUCUAUACUAUAUUUUCAAUAAUCAUGUUGCUCCAUCUUUAAAACAAAAUCAAUUUUCACAUUUGCUAACUUUUAAUGCUUGAGCUCCUUUUAACUCAUGCCUGCUUUUAAUACAUGAGCUUCACUUUUAACUUAUGUUCACUUUUAAUGCACAAGGUUUAAUUUUCAAUCACACUCACUUUUAGCAUAGGGCUCCAGUAUUAUUGAUCCCUUCUUAGUUUAACGCACAUGACUUCAAUUUUUACCCCGCAUCAACUUUAAUCAUGGUAAGAAGCAGUAAUAGGCUAAUCCUUACUUAGAGAAGUUUGAACUUCUAUACAUAACACAAUAUCAUUCACAAUGUACACUCAUCAUAGGAGUCUUGUUUAUGAGGAAGUUUUCUCUAUGUAGUUUUAUUAUUCUUGAUAUUAAUUUUCAUCAAAUGUAUGUUAGUUGACCAAAUCAUAUCAAUACUAUGCUUUUUAGUAUAGUUUUAAUUUGUUAAAUGAUUUAUUGUUGAAGGUUCUCUCUCCCCCCUCUCCCGCCCAGUUCCCCCCCACCCCAACACACACCAAAAAAAGGACCCACACCUUACUAAUUAAAAGAGGCUUCAUAUCCAUGCCGAGGGUAUUUUUGAUGGUUUAGUGCCUAAUGCCCAAAGAGAUCGAACACCAUAAAAUAUGUUCCAGAGUUUUCUGACGCACUAUGGUUUAAACCUAUGCAAAUUGAUCUCCUCAACCUAACAUUUUCCUUAUACUUGCCCACCAACAGGCAUAUCUGAUAUUAUAUGUUCCAGUCUGACAGGGAUUCUUCAACGAUACGAAAGCCACGCCGCAGCAGAAAAAAAGAUCUCUGCAGAAAUCCAGGACGCAGAGGUAUUUGAUUAGCCGACUGUUAUCAAGUUAUAUUCUAGUUAAUUUGAAUCCUCUCAGGAUACUUGAAGCGUGCACCAUAUAUUUUUCUUAAUUAAUUUGGUUACCACUUGCCUUGGUGUGAUGAGUAUUUAAGUAACUUUCAACAUGCAUCCUUCAAAAAAAAAAUAAAGAGCAGCCCUGAACUGGUGAGAGAUCAAAAUCGGGCCAGAACUAUUUCCAGAUGAACUGUGAAAUACUUGUAAAUUUCCUUCAUUUUUAAUAGGUCCGAAGAUGCUAAAUAUACACGUUACCAUUAGUGUGCCACCUAGGACUGGAAGGUCCAAAUUAUAAAUGAUGCUUACUAUUCGUCAUAGUGCAUCGUAGAUCAUGCUGCUGUUCGACUAAAUGCUCUAUCAAAAAAAAAAAUCUUGUUGCUGGACUAAAAUGAGUUAUGCUAGACAUACACAGUAUUUCGUCAAAUCCUGGAAUAAUGCUCUGACAAGAUGUUCAUUCAUGUAGUUAAUACGGGUGAUUAGUAACUUAUCAUUAUUGCAUUGUGUAUUUUGCAAUUUAUCCACUGUACUCAAUUGGGUGUUAUUCAAUGUUAUCUUGAAUAGACAUAUUUACAUUAUUGGUGCUGAGAGUUUUCUAAUCAUUCUGAGGUGGACAUAGCAGUCUAAAUUCUCAAGUAUGACAACGGGAGAACUGCUUCAAGAAACAGAAAGGUACUGAUCCUUUAUUUCAUUUCUAUUUCUUAAAGAUUAUACCACUGACGCUUGGUUUUAGUUUGACAGACAGCUCGAGGAAAAUGUUGACGGUGUCACUGCAACUGACCUUAUCCAUUUGGAAAAUGAACUUCUAACUGCUCUUGUACAAAUCAGAUCUAGAAAGGUCUUUCUACAUUCCUCUGUAGCUUCCCCUACUGGAAUUGCAUCAUUGGAACUCUAAUGUUAAAUAUUCAUGAAAGUGUACCAGCUUCCUUUCUCACUGCCUCUUUGCUUUACUACUAGAAGCUGUCACGCAUCAUGUGUUUUUCAGACAUGACAACACUUAGCUGGAGCACCUCAAUGUUGUUUUGAUUCACAUCUCCCGUAACUCUAUGCGUUCUAAUGCUUUGUCUCAUGAUUUAUUUUAUCAUUCCAAAUGGUGAGAGACCAUAGUUAUUAGUGAAUUCCUCCAGCUAUGCCUUCUGUUUUUGGUUACUUUCGCUUUUGUCUUUUUAUAAGCAUUUGCAUUUGUUUUUUGAAUAAUGUCUGACUUCCAGUAUUAUUAUCUGGUUCCAUUUGAGUCGGUACCUCAAAAUGAAGCAAGUUUAAAUAGUUUUGUUUUUUGCAGACACAUUUGAUGCUUGAAUCUAUUAAGGGUCUUCAUGAGAAGGUACGUUUUCAUGUUCAAUAACUACCGCAUACUAGUUUUUCGGAAAGUCAAUGAGUUUGAUUCCUCUGUUUCCGACUCUCUGUCUGAACUACACCUUGAUUCCCAGAAAUUUGACUUUCAGAUCAAGGUGCAUUGGAAAAUAGGAUCUUUUCAUCCUAUGUUUGCUCAAACUCUUCAAAAAUAGGUGUGUGCUGGAUCCUUCAAAAGCUAUGCAUUUUGGAGGAUCCAAUGAAAGUAUGGCAGAAAUUUUUGCAGGGUCCGAGCAACAAGUUGAACUCUUCCUCUCAGUGUCCUUGGUUUCAACCAAGGACUAGUUAGUAGUGUUUGCAUGCUAAUGUCGCAAAUUGUGUAAGCUUAACAAGGACUAGUCAGUAGCUAAGUUGCUCGAACUCUUCAAAAAUGUCUACGGGUGCGUGUCGGAUCCUUCAAAAAUAGUGUAAUUUUGAAGGAUCCGACACGGGUGCGGCAACAUUUUUGGAGAAUCCGAGCAACUUAGGUCAGUAGUGCUUGCAUGCUAACGUCCCAAGUUGCGUAAGCUUAAGAUAGUCAGUUACCUUAUUGUUGGAAGGAGUAUAAGAAGGCACAAAACAUCCAUUUGUUCUUGGGCCAUCAUAGAAACAUAGAGUUGACAACGGAAUGAAGAACGAAACUUUACGACAGCUUUGUCAUAGACGUUCACUUGCAUUACAUACAGAAGUGCUCUCUGAACCGUGCAAUAAGGUCACCCAUAACACGGCUCUCCCAUUUGAGUUAUCUUAGCCCCAGGCCAUGUUAUUCAAUAAUAUUGGAAAACCGAGUUUCUUGAUAGGCUGGUCUAGAAGUAUGUUAAGACUUAAUUGACUACCAGACAUAUAUUCUAGCUUCUCUGUUGAUCAAAUCUCAUACAAUAGUCUUUGCUCCUUCAAAUCUGGACGGAUUUAAUAGGCAUCCCUGCUUUCUACUGCUCUAUGUAGCUCUUUUUAAUCAAUAGCUCUCAUCAGAUAUCUUUAAUUAUUUUAGUAUGAAUUGAUAUCAUGUUAAAUUUUCAAGAGAGACUGCACAUGAUACUCCUUAUUGCAGGAAAAACUGCUGCUAGAGGAAAAGAAACAACUGGAGAACAAUGUAAAUAUUACUUCAUAAAAUCUGCUCUCCAAUUUUACCCCUUUCAUGUUUUCCUAACUUAGUAAAAUUAAUACAUGCAUUAUGCCCAUGCAGAUGGCUCGAAUGAAGAAAAACAGAAGAGUUAAUGAGAAGUCUGACCUUCCACAACAGAGAGUGACCCUGAAUUUCCUCUAGCAAUUGUCAUUGUAUUUGUCAAAUAGCCAGUGGAAUAACCUGCUAAGAUUAGCAAAAUUCAAUGUUCCCAGAAAUAACUAAUGUUAUGCAGUUUCAACUUUCAAUAAAACUAAUUAUUUCAGACUUGGUUCUUGUUUUUCUUGGAUGGUGAUUAGGGCGUACGCUUUUUUCUCGUCUCCCUGAUGUUCCAUAAUGUACUCUUUAAGUUUUCUUCUUCUUGCAGUCAUUCAUUCCCGUUUCAAGAAUGAAAUGCUGCCCCUACUUGACAUGAGAUUGAGUCCUUACUACUCGCACCAAUAUCAGUACUGAGUGGCCGGAAAUUGAUUAAAAAUAACUGCUUCACAGAGUUUGAAAUCUUAUUCUAUGAAUUGACUUUCAUUCUUUGGAAUUACCUUACUGGGUUAGGGGGGAACAAUGUAUAAAUAGUUGCCGUGCAAAAGGUUACUUGUGCAAAUGCCUAACAACAACUAAGUAACAAUACCAUCUUGACCAGAGCGUGGAACAAAAAUUUGAUGCUUAUGAAUUUGAAAUUUGAGCUCUUCUACGUUACGAAACGCUAAAUUAAAAAUUUGCAACGUCCAAUAAUUUUUUAAAAAACAAAUUCACUUUUUGAACCAAAAUUACUGAUCCGAUCAAACAGUAACUAACAAACUGGCUUCGACCCUGAGCCUGAGUCGGAAGAGCAAAAAACAGAUAUGCAUAAUAAAGCAGUGACGUGACAUAAUAUAUUAAGAGGCCAUUUAAUAAAGUGUAUUAAUAAGAAUAAUGCAUGUCUGUAUUGAGGUAUUAAAGUUUGUAAGUAUAAAAUAAAUUCAAAUAAUACCUAAGGAGAUUUGAUCUCACAAUCAAAAAGUCAACAAAAUUUUUACAAAUCUCUUUACUCCACUAGAUCAACAACACACUUUAUUUAUAAUUUCUCAACUUAUAAUUUUUAUGUUUUACAAAUCUCUUUACUCCACUAGAUCAACAACACAUUUUAUUUAUUUAUAAGUUCUCAACUUAUAAUUUUUAUAUAUUUACUAGAUUUUUUAAUAUAAAUACAAAAUCCUCAUGAAAGUUACUGAAUUUUCAAAAACCCUCACUCAACCCCUAAAUCUGCCCCCUGAUGACAUUAAUAAUACAAUGAAUUUAAUGCACACAUUAGUAUGAUUAAAAAUACAAUUAUUACUCAAUUUUUUUUUCACAUCCUUUCCAACAUACAUAUAAAGGAUAUUUUUAUAAAAAAUUUAUGUAAUUCAUAUUAUUUUUAAUACAUCAAAUUAAACAUUGUAUAAAAAAUACAAAUAUAACUAAUGCAAAUAUAACUAAUACAUCAUAUUUUACAUUAUUCUUAUACAUUCUAAGAAAUGAUUCCUAACAUCAACUAAUCCCUAACAUCAACUAGGGUAUACUGAAGUAUAUGCAUUUAUGCAAUUCGAAGUUCGGUCGUCCACAACAACAACAUUCAAAUCGUCGAAAAAGAGGGAUUAAACAGAAGGAAAUUUGCAUUUUAAAAAGAGUAUAAUCAAAUAAAUUUGAACACUCGAUCGAAAUAUUAAAAAAAAAAAAAAAAAAAAGCCCAGUAAACAAAUCAGAUAAUCGAACUUACAGAUUCAUGGAAAAAAAUAUCUGAAAUAUCAAUAAGCCUUUCCUCUUGUGGGUUUCCAUGUAAGUUACGGUUCCAGGGAGAAAACAUAAUACACUUCUGC